rnacentral:rRNA from 1 species
UGGGGAAUAUUGGACAAUGGGCGCAAGCCUGAUCCAGCCAUGCCGCGUGGAUGAAGAAGGCCCUAGGGUUGUAAAGUCCUUUCGGUGGUGAAGAUAAUGACGGUAACCACAGAAGAAGCCCCGGCUAAUUUCGUGCCAGCAGCCGCGGUAAUACGAAAGGGGCUAGCGUUGUUCGGAAUUACUGGGCGUAAAGCGCACGUAGGCGGCCUUGUAAGAUGGGGGUGAAAUCCCUGGGCUCAACCCAGGAACUGCCUUCAUGACUGCAAAGCUCGAGGAUGUGAGAGGUUGGCGGAAUUCCGAGUGUAGAGGUGAAAUUCGUAGAUAUUCGGAAGAACACCAGUGGCGAAGGCGGCCAACUGGCACAUUUCUGACGCUGAGGUGCGAAAGCGUGGGGAGCAAACAGGAUUAGAUACCCCGGUAGUCCCUGAGCGGGCUGGCAAGGCGCAU